CUUAAAUAUUGAAAUUAAACCAACCAAUACCUAUUUUUCUCUGUCCUUUGUCCCUUUCUUUUCAGAGAAGCAUCAUUACUUGAGAAAGAGACCACUAGAUUUUUCUUUUUCUCUAAGAAUGAUGAACGACUUCAAGGUUCUGACUUAUUCUGGAGAGGAGUAGGAAGUAAUAUGAGCAGGAACUCUUGGGAGGCCAGAACAACCAACCUGCGUAUGGAUUGUCGAAAGAAACAUAAAGACGCAAAAAGGAAAAUGAAACCAAAAUAAUAAAUGUCAGUUGGUUUUGAUACUGAAUGUGAACAAGGCUCACUAAGGAAACUGACCCAGAAAACAGUUUUAGCUGACAAAGAAGAAAUUUCAGAGUGAAGGAAUUUUAAAAAUCUGGCUGACGGAAUAUCAUUCUGGUUGCCAUCUUUUUCUGUGGAACUCCUCUGCAUUUCUUCCUAAGUA
rnacentral:lncRNA from 1 species